rnacentral:misc_RNA from 1 species
UAGAGAAUCAGCAAGACGCUCCAGACGACGAAAACAAGCACACUUGAAUGAACUCGAGACACAGGUUGGUCAACUUAGAGUUGAACACUCUACUUUGUUAAAGCGUCUCACAGAUGUAAAUCAAAAGUAUGAUGAUGCUGCUGUUGACAAUAGAAUUUUGAAAGCUGAUAUCGAGACUUUAAGAGCGAAGGUGAAAAUGGCUGAAGAAACAGUGAAAAGAGUGACAGGAG